CCCUUCUGAAUCUCGCUUGCUUACCAUGCAGUCGACGAUGAACCUCCUUCGGGAGGGGAUUAGUGGCGAACGGGUGAGUAACACGUGGGCAAUCUGCCCUGCACUCUGGGACAAGCCCUGGAAACGGGGUCUAAUACCGGAUACGAGCCUCCACCGCAUGGUGGGGGUUGGAAAGCUCCGGCGGUGCAGGAUGAGCCCGCGGCCUAUCAGCUUGUUGGUGAGGUAACGGCUCACCAAGGCGACGACGGGUAGCCGGCCUGAGAGGGCGACCGGCCACACUGGGACUGAGACACGGCCCAGACUCCUACGGGAGGCAGCAGUGGGGAAUAUUGCACAAUGGGCGAAAGCCUGAUGCAGCGACGCCGCGUGAGGGAUGACGGCCUUCGGGUUGUAAACCUCUUUCAGCAGGGAAGAAGCGAGAGUGACGGUACCUGCAGAAGAAGCGCCGGCUAACUACGUGCCAGCAGCCGCGCUAAUACGUACGGCGCAAGCGUUGUCCGGAAUUAUUGGGCGUAAAGAGCUCGUAGGCGGCUUGUCCCGUCCGCUGUGAAAGCCCGG
rnacentral:rRNA from 1 species